GCUCAGGACGAACGCUGGCGGCGCGCCUAACACAUGCAAGUCGAACGAGAGAUGAGGAGCUUGCUCUUCAAAUCGAGUGGCGAACAGGUGAGUAACGCGUGAGGAACCUGCCUCGAAGAGGGGGACAACAGUUGGAAACGACUGCUAAUACCGCAUAAGCCCACGGCUCGGCAUCGAGCAGAGGGAAAAGGAGCAAUCCGCUUUGAGAUGGCCUCGCGUCCGAUUAGCUAGUUGGUGAGGUAACGGCCCACCAAGGCGACGAUCGGUAGCCGGACUGAGAGGUUGAACGGCCACAUUGGGACUGAGACACGGCCCAGACUCCUACGGGAGGCAGCAGUGGGGAAUAUUGCACAAUGGGGGAAACCCUGAUGCAGCGACGCCGCGUGGAGGAAGAAGGUCUUCGGAUUGUAAACUCCUGUUGUUGAGGAAGAUAAUGACGGUACUCAACAAGGAAGUGACGGCUAACUACGUGCCAGCAGCCGCGGUAAAACGUAGGUCACAAGCGUUGUCCGGAAUUACUGGGUGUAAAGGGAGCGCAGGCGGGAGAACAAGUUGGAAGUGAAAUCCAUGGGCUCAACCCAUGAACUGCUUUCAAAACUGUUUUUCUUGAGUAGUGCAGAGGUAGGCGGAAUUCCCGGUGUAGCGGUGGAAUGCGUAGAUAUCGGGAGGAACACCAGUGGCGAAGGCGGCCUACUGGGCACCAACUGACGCUGAGGCUCGAAAGUGUGGGUAGCAAACAGGAUUAGAUACCCUGGUAGUCCACACCGUAAACGAUGAUUACUAGGUGUUGGAGGAUUGACCCCUUCAGUGCCGCAGUUAACACAAUAAGUAAUCCACCUGGGGAGUACGACCGCAAGGUUGAAACUCAAAGGAAUUGACGGGGGCCCGCACAAGCAGUGGAGUAUGUGGUUUAAUUCGACGCAACGCGAAGAACCUUACCAAGUCUUGACAUCCCUUGACGAUGCUGGAAACAGUAUUUCUCUUCGGAGCAAGGAGACAGGUGGUGCAUGGUUGUCGUCAGCUCGUGUCGUGAGAUGUUGGGUUAAGUCCCGCAACGAGCGCAACCCUUAUGGUCAGUUACUACGCAAGAGGACUCUGGCCAGACUGCCGUUGACAAAACGGAGGAAGGUGGGGAUGACGUCAAAUCAUCAUGCCCUUUAUGACUUGGGCUACACACGUACUACAAUGGCGUUAAACAAAGAGAAGCAAGACCGCGAGGUGGAGCAAAACUCAGAAACAACGUCCCAGUUCGGACUGCAGGCUGCAACUCGCCUGCACGAAGUCGGAAUUGAUAGUAAUCGUGGAUCAGCAUGCCACGGUGAA
rnacentral:rRNA from 1 species